rnacentral:siRNA from 1 species
AUAUAUAUAGCCAAAAGAAGAUGG